rnacentral:rRNA from 1 species
CAUGGCUCAGGAUGAACGCUGGCGGCGUGCUUAACACAUGCAAGUCGAACGAAGCGCAUUGUUUGAAUUCUUCGGAAGGAAGAUAAUGUGACUGAGUGGCGGACGGGUGAGUAACGCGUGGGUAACCUGCCAUGUACAGGGGGACAACAGUUGGAAACGGCUGCUAAUACCGCAUAAGCGCACGAGAUUGCAUGAUCUAGUGUGAAAAACUCCGGUGGUAUAUGAUGGACCCGCGUCUGAUUAGCUAGUUGGUAAGGUAACGGCUUACCAAGGCGACGAUCAGUAGCCGACCUGAGAGGGUGACCGGCCACAUUGGGACUGAGACACGGCCCAGACUCCUACGGGAGGCAGCAGUGGGGAAUAUUGCACAAUGGGCGAAAGCCUGAUGCAGCGACGCCGCGUGAACGAAGAAGUAUUUCGGUAUGUAAAGUUCUAUCAGCAGGGAAGAAGAAAUGACGGUACCUGACUAAGAAGCCCCGGCUAACUACGUGCCAGCAGCCGCGGUAAUACGUAGGGGGCAAGCGUUAUCCGGAUUUACUGGGUGUAAAGGGAGCGCAGGCGGCCCGGCAAGUCUGAUGUGAAAACCCAAGGCUCAACCAUGGGAUUGCAUUGGAAACUGUCGAGCUAGAGUAUCGGAGGGGUAAGUGGAAUUCCUAGUGUAGCGGUGAAAUGCGUAGAUAUUAGGAGGAACACCAGUGGCGAAG